UAAGAGGUCCCGCCUGCCCUGUGACUCUAUGUUUAACGGCCGCGGUAUACUGACCGUGCGAAGGUAGCGCAAUCACUUGUCUUUUAAAUGGAGACCUGUAUGAAUGGCAUAACGAGGGCUUAACUGUCUCCUCUUUCAAGUCAAUGAAAUUGAUCUCCCCGUGCAGAAGCGGGGCUACACCCAUAAGACGAGAAGACCCUAUGGAGCUUUAGACACCAAGGCGGCUCAUGUUACUAAACACCAAAAUAAAGGACCAAACAACAGGACCUUCCGCCCUAAUGUCUUUGGUUGGGGCGACCGCGGGGUAACACAAAACCCCCGCGUGGAACGAGAGGACUCCCCUCUUACAAUUAAGAGCUUCAGCUCUAAAAAACAGAAUUUCUGACCUAUAAGAUCCGGCAACGCCGAUCAACGGAACGAGUUACCCUAGGGAUAACAGCGCAAUCCCCUUUUAGAGCCCAUAUCGACAAGGGGGUUUACGACCUCGAUGUUGGAUCAGGACAUCCUAAUGGUGCAGCCGCUAUUAAGGGUUCGUUUGUUCAACG
rnacentral:rRNA from 1 species